rnacentral:sRNA from 1 species
CGUUAAAAUUAGAUGAGGUAUCCCUACGUAGCGGGAGAGACCCACGACGAAUUGUUCCUAAAGUCUUCAAAAAAGGAUAAAUACGAUUGCAUUGCAUGAACUAACGGAUGCGAUCAUACCAGCAUUAAUGCACCAUGUCCCAGGAGAACUCUGUAGCUAAGCGUGCUUGGGCGAGAGUAGUACUUAGGUGGGUGACCUCCUGGGAAGUCCUCGUGUUGCAUCCCUCUUUGUUUUU